GUGCUCGCUUCGGCAGCACACAUACUAAAAUUGGAACGAUACAGAGAAGAUUAGCAUGGCCCGUGCACAAGGAUGACAUGCAAAUUCGUGAAGCAUUCCAUAUUUUU
rnacentral:snRNA from 1 species